rnacentral:rRNA from 1 species
UACGGAGGGUGCAAGCGUUAUCCGGAUUCACUGGGUUUAAAGGGUGCGUAGGUGGGCAGGUAAGUCAGUGGUGAAAUCUCCGGGCUUAACUCGGAAACCGCCAUUGAUACUAUCUUUCUUGAAUACCGUGGAGGUCAGCGGAAUAUGUCAUGUAGCGGUGAAAUGCUUAGAUAUGACAUAGAACACCAAUUGCGAAGGCAGCUGGCUACACGAAUAUUGACACUGAUGCACGAAAGCGUGGGGAUCAAACAGG